UACGGGAGGCAGCAGUAAGGAAUAUUGGUCAAUGGACGCAAGUCUGAACCAGCCAUGCCGCGUGGAGGAUUAAGGCCCUCUGGGUUGUAAACUCCUUUUAUCUGGGAAGAAAUCCAUGUAUUCUUAUAUGGUUGACGGUACCAGAGGAAUAAGCACCGGCUAACUCCGUGCCAGCAGCCGCGGUAAU
rnacentral:rRNA from 1 species